CCAGUGCAGGUCCACUAUCGCUUCAGGUGUUUUAUAGCUGCCGCAGAAAUUCCUCGGAAAGUGCGUCACAUCCUAUCGGCGCCCCCAACAAUCCACACUGAGCAAGAAAACUGCGCCUGGGCGCAAUUUGGAAAAUUCCUGUAGGGGUUUCAUGAGUCACCCAGACAGACGCCAGUCAGAUUGAGUCACUGAUCUAAUUCAGAGUCGACUAACUCUGUGCCAUGACGUCACCACUUUUUCAGGAUUAGUCAUGGAAUCCCUCCAUUGUUCCACUGCCUCGGGAGAACUGCCAUCAAAUCCCAAGAGGACCUAAAAAUGAAGGAAUACAUACAAAGACUGGAACUCAUGGAAUAUACACUUCUGUUCAAACGUUGGGGUGUUUUCUCCGAACAGAGCUACGGGUGUAGAGUUUGACUGCCAGCUGCACAUUCUGGUCCUGAUUAGUGAUGGGCAAGUGAAGCACCUCCUCCCAUUGAACAUGCCCCCCAGAUGACUUCAUCACCUUCGUCU